GGCCCUUUAACGCAAUGAAUAAAUAGCGUGUUGGACUUCUAAUCCAAAGGUCAUGGGCUCAAAUCCUACAUGGGAUG